rnacentral:rRNA from 1 species
UACGUAGGGUGCGAGCGUUGUCCGGAAUUAUUGGGCGUAAAGGGCUCGUAGGCGGUUUGUCGCGUCGGGAGUGAAAACACCGGGCUUAACUCGGUGCUUGCUUUCGAUACGGGCAGACUAGAGGCAUGCAGGGGAGAACGGAAUUCCUGGUGUAGCGGUGAAAUGCGCAGAUAUCAGGAGGAACACCGGUGGCGAAGGCGGAUCUCUGGGCCUUACCUGACGCUCAGGUGCGAAAGCUAGGGGAGCGAACAGG